UUAUAGCCCCGCGAAGUCUCUUUCCCGUCAUAUAUCAAUUCUAGCAUAUUGGCUUCAGCAUGGGUUGGCAGCGGAUUCUGGUUAAUGUAUGGACCUUCUGGGGCUUGGACCAGCAUUUGAUUUGUGUCAAUUAAAUCUUGGACAGCUCUCUUUAAAUACCAGCAUUUCUCAAUAUCAUGGCCUGGCAUAUCAGAACAGUACGCACACCUUAAAGAGUAAUCGAGAUUCCUCGGCGGUGGAUUUGAAAGCCUUUCUUGAAUUGGGCUUAAAACCUUUAACUUUCUCAACCUAUCAAACAAGCUAGCAUACGACUCCCCAAGAGGUGUGAAUUGAUUUUUGACCGCCUUCUCCUUUUUAUACUCGGGCCUAGGCUGAAAACUGGGUCUGGGGGGGUUUUGGUAAUUUGGUGGAGUGAAUGGGCGAUUUUGUGGAGCUUGCGCACGCCAUUGCAGGUAAGAAGGGGUUUGGGCAUAGGGCUGCACACUAUAUACUGGGUACGGUGGUGGUGGAAUGAAAUAUAAAGGGUUUUGUGGAGGGUAGUAAUGGUGGGGAGGAAUAUAUGAAGCUUGGGUGUAGAUUUGGGCUUGGGAUUGGGGAUAGGAGCGAGGUGGUCUUUUAGGAUAGGAAUGGGUUCCAGCUACGAAAGUCACCACGUCCUCUUUCUUCUUUCUACCUCCAAAUGCGCCUGAUCCAUCUUGAAUCGCUUGUGUGGUAGCUUUUAAUGCGGCAAAACUAACUAUUCGGUCGGUCUUAAUUCCAUCCUCUAUCAUCUCCCCCAUUUUGAGAACUUUUAUAAAAGAUUUUCCCAUUUCCGAAAGUAAAUGCUGAAAAUAGGUCUCAUCCUGUGCCUGAAUGAAAACUUCUACCAACUUACUUUCUUUCAUUGGAGGCUUUACCCUGGCGGCCUGUUCACGCCACCUUAUCGCGUAUUCCCUAAAACCUUCAGUGCUCUUUUUCUUCAUGUUGACCAAGGAUUUGUGGAGGGUAGUAAUGGUGGGGAGGAAUAUAUGAAGCUUGGGUGUAGAUUUGGGCUUGGGAUUGGGGAUAGGAGCGAGGUGGUCUUUUAGGAUAGGAAUGGGUUCCAGCUACGAAAGUCACCACGUCCUCUUUCUUCUUUCUACCUCCAAAUGCGCCUGAUCCAUCUUGAAUCGCUUGUGUGGUAGCUUUUAAUGCGGCAAAACUAACUAUUCGGUCGGUCUUAAUUCCAUCCUCUAUCAUCUCCCCCAUUUUGAGAACUUUUAUAAAAGAUUUUCCCAUUUCCGAAAGUAAAUGCUGAAAAUAGGUCUCAUCCUGUGCCUGAAUGAAAACUUCUACCAACUUACUUUCUUUCAUUGGAGGCUUUACCCUGGCGGCCUGUUCACGCCACCUUAUCGCGUAUUCCCUAAAACCUUCAGUGCUCUUCUUCUUCAUGUUGACCAAGGAUUUUUCGUCCGGAAUCAGGUCGAUGUUGUACUGAAAAUGUUGAACAAAUUCAGAAGCCAAAUAAAUCAUCCCAGCUGUUCCAUUUAUCGAUAUCUCGAUCGAUAAGCCAUUCUGAGGCCAGAUCUGAAAGAUUCUUGCCAAAGAAAGCCAUGAGUAGUUCUUCCUUUCCUCCUGCAGCCCUAAACUGGUUGUAAUAACGUCUUAAGUGUGCCACGGGAUCGCCGUGUCCUGCAUACUUCUCGAACUUAGGCAUCUUAAAACCGGGGGAAAGAUUGAUGUCUGGGAACAUGCACAGAUCUUUAUAAGAAACACUUCUAUAAUCUCCGAUUCCUUGCAGAUUCCUCAUAGCCUGUUCUAAACUUUUCAAUUUUCGAGCUAUGAUAUCCUGUUCCUCCGUUGCGAUAGGUUUCUCCGUAUCAA
rnacentral:lncRNA from 1 species